ensembl:antisense AA387200 expressed sequence AA387200
GAGUCUCCACAGGGUUGUAGUCUGGCGCUGGGAAGCCAGAAGAGGCAGAAAGAAACAUCGAAGCAGAGCAACUCUGGCUGUGGUGGCUCAGAAGUCCUGGCAACCCGACUUCCGGUGAGAGAACCCCACCUGGCAAACCUAACUUCCGGUGGAGGAAUCCCACCUGGGAUUGAGAGAUGAAGGAACCAAGGCUCAGAGAGGUGCUUUGACUCACCCAAGGAGACCCAGCUGAGAACCUGCCUUAGGUCUGAUCAGACAGCUUGGCUACAAAGCCUUCAUCAUACAUCACCAGAGCUUCUCUCUAAGAGACCCAAUAUGCCAGCGCUGGGUGAGUGGGUGGACUCCUGCAAGAAAAGCCCCUCCCCCUCCCACGUCUGCUGCGUUCAUCAUAUCCCCAUCAACCUCUUGCUGGGCAAGAGUGGAAGCUCAGCAAUCAGUCAAAAGAAAGACUACGUUGCCAGUGACCACGCCCCUCUGCUCACCUUUGGCCAAGGCCAGGUGGUACUUUGAGUGCUAGCGCUGCUUUCCCCGAGUGUUGGGAGAUCAUUGGAUCCCUGCCCUGGCUCCGACACCCUGCCAAGUGUCUUUCCUUCAAAGUUGGAGAUAUUUCUGUCCCUGAAAUGCUCACAUUUCAGCACCUUGCUGAGGUCUUUUGGAAGAGACUGGCUGGUGGGAGGCUGAUCGCCAGGCUCUGCAGGGCCAGGGGACUUGGGACAGGGCUCCCCACCAGCUGGUCUGAAUGUGUGUGGCUCAAACUCCGGUAGGAGAGCUUCACAUGCAAGCGAGGCGGAUCAGAGGCUCAACACAAGGGCCUGGGGCAUUGCAAACCAUUUUUAUGGCUGUUUUCUUUUCCAAGACAGGGUUUUUCUCUGUAACCCUGGCUGUCCUGGGAUUCUCUCUCUCUGUAAAUGAGGCUGGUCUCCAACUCACAGACAUCUGCCUGCUUCUGCCUCCAAAGUGCUGGGAUUAAAAGCUUGCACGAUUACUGCCCAGCUUAAGUGCUGUGGACUUUGAAUUCAGCAAGCCAAAUUUUAACCCCAGUACUGCCUUUUCCAGUGGGUGACUGAGCUGAUCGCUUUUGCACCUUAGUAGACUGAAGCCCAUGGUAGCAGUUGCCUUGUUAGGCUUAGAGAAGUGUCAGCCUUCAAUAAAAAUGGAUCAUUACCUGAACAUC